rnacentral:rRNA from 1 species
AAAGCUGGCGUCUUCGGCGUCCGCAUUGUAAUCUCAAGAAGUGUUUUCCGCUUCGGACCAUGCCUAAGUCCCUUGGAAAAGGGCAUCAUAGAGGGUGAUAAUCCCGUACAUGGCAUGGAGCGCCCGAAGCUUUGUGAUACGCUUUCUAAGAGUCGAGUUGUUUGGGAAUGCAGCUCAAAAUGGGUGGUAAAUGCCAUCUAAGGCUAAAUAUUGGGGAGAGACCGAUAGCGAACAAGUACAGUGAUGGAAAGAUGAAAAGAACUUUGAAAAGAGAGUUAAACAGUACGUGAAAUUGCCAAAAGGGAAGGGUAGGAGGUCAGAGAUGCGGCCUGGGAUUCAGCCUUGCUUUUGCUUGGUGUUUUUCCCAGAUUGCAGGCCAACGUCGGUUUUGGGCACUGGAGAAGGGUAGGAGGAACGUGGCACCUCUCGGGGUGUGUUAUAGCCUCCUACUGGAUACAGCGACCGAGACCGAGGACAGCAGCGUACUCGCAAGAGCGGGCCUUCGGGCACCUUUACGCUUAGGGCGUUGGCAUAAUGGCCCUCUACCACCCGUCU